rnacentral:lncRNA from 1 species
AGGAUUCAUUUCGCAACACCUACGGCUUCCACUAGAUGUCAACGAUCUUUAUAAAGUUGUUUGAAGCGUCUAUGAUAAACAGAGAGCAAAUUAGAAUCCAAGGAAGUUGACAUGUCAUCACUUCAUUUUUUUGCGCCUGCGCAUAAAUCUGAGAAACGUGAGUUUUGUCUUCAUUGUUUAUCUCGACAUAGGAUAGGUUGUGUGAAAAUAUUACUGAUGUUUAACGUUAAAAAUGGACCAAAAGAUUAAUGCUAAACAACAUUUGACAUGUUUGAACGAACAUAAAUAGAUUAUUUACUAGGUUUUUUUAGCUUUUCGGCGUGAUUUUACAGUCCCCCACCACGUUUUGUGGGAGCAUAAUGAACGCUAAGUACUUGGUGUUAUUUGGACAUAAAUGAUGAACUUUGUCAAAAGAAACCACAUUUGUUCCGGACCUGGGAUGCCUUCCGGACCUGGGAUGCCUGUCUUCUGAUGGAGAUAAUCAAAGGCGAAAUCCUAAAUUUGAUCAGACCGACUGAGGAGUCUGACGCUGAUCAUAACCAGCACCCACCAGCGCCAAAGACCCCCAAAUUCACCCCAAAAAUAUCUUCUAGACCCUCUUUGUCACUCUCUGCUGGGGGUCCUCAGUCCUCUUCGUCACAGGGGCCAGCUGCUCACAAGUCUGAAGAAUCAUCAAGACCCUGUUCCCGUGCUUCUUCGCUAGAAGAUUUUCUGGCAGUAGUCCAUGGAUUUCUGCAGGCUGAUUAUUCAGCACCUGAGGAAAUUGGCAGAGGAUGUCAGAGAGUUGCAAUACCAGACCACAGUAACAGGAACCUCUUAAUGUAACUGACCAAUGGGUCUCAUGGGGACAUGGUUCUGCCAGAGGACACUGUGCUUCCUCUGAAGGACAUGCCUUGCUGGAGGAGCUUGAACAUCGGCUUGCUGGGAAUGAGGAACUUCAGGAGAAAUUGGUGAGGUUUUUGGCUGCUAAAGGGGGCAAGACCGUCAAAGACUCUGUGAGGAGGAUGUUUGCCUGCCUUUUCUCCAACGACCUGUCCAGGCUUUGUAUCUAGACCGGCUUGGGACAUAAGAUCUCUUUCAGGCAGCUAUCUUUAAAAAGCAUUGUUCACAGAACGAUAAGAAAGAACCUCUCUACAAAAGAGGCAACAGAGGGGAACCUCCAAGAGGUGGUCUGUCACAUCCUGACCAGUAAUAGGGGUUAUUUGUUAUUAUAGUUUGGUCAGGACGUGGCAGGGGGUGUUUGUUUUAUGUGGUUUGGGCUAUGUAUUUAGGUAGAGGGGUGUUUGGUUUAUGUGGUCCGGGGUUUGUUAGUCUAUGUUCUAUGUUAGUAUUUUUCUAUGUUCUAUCUAGUCUAUUGUAGUUCUUUGUUUAGUUAAUUGGGGUUGGACCUUCAAUUGGAGGCAGCUGGUUAUUGUUGCCUCUGAUUGAGGGUCCUAUAAUUAGGAGUUUGUUUUCAUGGGGUUUUUGUGGGAGAUUGUGCUUGUUUAGCUGUGUGCCUGACAAGACUGUCCAGUUCGUUUGUGGUUUGUAUACGUUUAUUGUGUUUCCCUUCUUCACCAAAUAAAAAGAAGAUGAGUAUAUAUUUUCCCGCUGCGUCUUGGUCUUUACCCUUUCGACAACCGUGACAUGGUCGCAACAUUUUUGAAGGGAGCUGCUGACAGAGAAGGAGUUAGGAAAGAAAUACAAGCCAACUGAAGAGGCUCAAGAAACAAUUUUCUGUUUGUCCAUGUAAACUGUAUUGUACUGUACAUACUCAUUAUUUUGUAACAUAGGACAUGAUUUUCUUUAAUAACAAUUAGAAAGCCUAAAUCUAAAUCUAUAUGUAUAUUUAUUUUAUUAUUACUACUAAUUGUAUAAUCCUUAUAUUCAUCGUUACCAUGUAUUCAAUGUAGAUAUUUUAUAUUGUAAUGUGUUUUACAAUAAAUUUG